rnacentral:lncRNA from 1 species
CCCGGCCACCGAUGGUGCCUACGGGCAGCACGGACACACCGGAGCCACCGGCACGGGGAUGCACGAUGCCGACACCGGCGAGAAGAAGGGCGUCAUGGAGAAUAUCAAUGACAAGCUCCCUGGUGACCACGAGGACCACCAGCAGACUGGUGGCACCUACGGUCAACCGGGGCAGACUGCCGCGGCGACGCAUGGCGCCUCAGUUACCGGCGGCACCUAUGGCCAGCAGGGAAACACCGGUAUGGAGACACAUGGCGCCCCGGCCACCGAUAGUGCCUCCAGGCAGCACGGACACACUGGGUCCACCGACACGGUGAUUCACGGCACCGACACCAGCGAGAAGAAGGACGUCGACAAGCUCCCUGGUGGCCAUGGGGACCACCAGCAGACUGGUGGCACCUACGGGCAGAAGGGACACACGGCCGCGGAACCGCAUGGCGCCUCAGCAACCGGCGACACCUAUGGCCAGGAGGGAAACACCAGUACGGGGACACAUGGCGCCCCUGCCACCAAUGGUGGCUACGGGAAGCACGGACACACCAGGACCACCGGGACGGG